rnacentral:rRNA from 1 species
UUGACCUCGGAUCAGGUAGGACUACCCGCUG